UACGGAGGGUGCGAGCGUUUGUCCGGAAUCAUUGGGCGUAAGGGUGCGUAGGUGGCAUGGUAAGUUUGAUGUGAAAGCUCAGGGCUCAACCCUGAAAUGGCAUUGAAUACUACUGUGCUGGAGGUUUGGAGGGGGACUGGAAUUCUUGGUGUAGCAGUGAAAUCGUAGAUAUCAAGAGGAACACCAGUGGCGAAGGCGAGUCCCUGGCAACACCUGCUGAGGCACGAAAGCUAGGGGAGCAAACAGG
rnacentral:rRNA from 1 species